rnacentral:snoRNA from 1 species
CCUGGAUGAUGAUAAGCAAAUGCUGACUGAACAUGAAGGUCUUAAUUAGCUCUAACUGACUAA